CCCUCUAACGAGACAGAAACCAACACAGGUGAAACCCCUUCCCUCUAACGAGACAGAAACCAACACAGGUGAAACCCCUUCCCUCUAACGAGACAGAAACCAACAGGUGAAACCCCUUCCCUCUAACGAGACAGAAACCAACAGGUGAAACCCCUUCCCUCUAACGAGACAGAAACCAACACAGGUGAAACCCCUUCCCUCUAACGAGACAGAAACCAACAGGUGAAACCCCUUCCCUCUAACGAGACAGAAACCAACAGGUGAAACCCCUUCCCUCUAACGAGACAGAAACCAACAGGUGAAACCCCUUCCCUCUAACGAGACAGAAACCAACAGGUGAAACCCCUUCCCUCUAACGAGACAGAAACCAACAGGUGAAACCCCUUCCCUCUAACGAGACAGAAACCAACACAGGUGAAACCCCUUCCCUCUAACGAGACAGAAACCAACAGGUGAAACCCCUUCCCUCUAACGAGACAGAAACCAACACAGGUGAAACCCCUUCCCUCUAACGAGACAGAAACCAACACAGGUGAAACCCCUUCCCUCUAACGAGACAGAAACCAACACAGGUGAAACCCCUUCCCUCUGACGAGACAGAAACCAACAGGUGAAACCCCUUCCCUCUAACGAGACAGAAACCAACAGGUGAAACCCCUUCCCUCUAACGAGACAGAAACCAACAGGUGAAACCCCUUCCCUCUAACGAGACAGAAACCAACACAGGUGAAACCCCUUCCCUCUAACGAGACAGAAACCAACACAGGUGAAACCCCUUCCCUCUAACGAGACAGAAACCAACACAGGUGAAACCCCUUCCCUCUGACGAGACAGAAACCAACAGGUGAAACCCCUUCCCUCUAACGAGACAGAAACCAACAGGUGAAACCCCUUCCCUCUAACGAGACAGAAACCAACAGGUGAAACCCCUUCUGACUUAAGGAGGCACCAAUAAGCCUAUCAUCCAACCUCAAAAACAUCCAUGUAAAAACCAAGACCUGUAACAGUGUGUACCAUAGA